UGGGGAAUAUUGCACAAUGGGGGAAACCCUGAUGCAGCGACGCCGCGUGAGCGAAGAAGGCUUUCGAGUCGUAAAGCUCUGUCCUAUGAGAAGAUAAUGACGGUACCAUAAGAAAAAGCCCCGGCUAACUACGUGCCAGCAGCCGCGGUAAUACGUAGGGGGCUAGCGUUGUCCGGAAUCACUGGGCGUAAAGGGUUCGCAGGCGGAAAUGCAAGUCAGGUGUAAAAGGCAGUAGCUUAACUACUGUAAGCAUUUGAAACUGCAUAUCUUGAGAAGAGUAGAGGUAAGUGGAAUUUUUAGUGUAGCGGUGAAAUGCGUAGAUAUUAAAAAGAAUACCGGUGGCGAAGGCGACUUACUGGGCUCAUUCUGACGCUGAGGAACGAAAGCGUGGGUAGCAAACAGG
rnacentral:rRNA from 1 species